rnacentral:lncRNA from 1 species
CUAACUUCGAUUUUGGGUUUGAUCUUCAAGAUCACCAAGAACACAUAGUGGUUCUUAGGCUGUGAACUCCUCUUCAAACUUCCAAAUUGUAAGUAUCCUUCCAUAUAUCUUAGAAACCCUGAAUAUGCACCAAGAAACAACCGUUUUGCAUGAUUUUCCAGGAGUUUACGGUUGUAAACUUCUUGAUUGUAAAAACCCAAGACCAUAAACACCCUAGACCGUAAACACCCUAGACCGUAAACCUCUAGGACUGUAAACUCUAUGAACGUGAACUUAGUGGCCGUAAACACCCUUUUUGUCAAUCACACGUACAAUGAGUCUUGUCAAUAACAGUUCAAGUACAAUACUAGUAAAAUAUAAGGGGUAUAGUUUAGAGGUUCCAUUCACACUAGAUACUAGAGCAUACUAUAAAGAGAAACAGGGAGGUAUAUACAAUACAUCAGAGAGACAUACUAUACACUAUACAUGAUAACAGAAGGAACAUACUAAGAUACUAUAAUAGAACGAACUUACUAAGAUGCUAUAUCAUGAGAACUACUACAGGAUCUAACUAUACCAAUGAUCACUAACACAUUGUUCUAAACAAAAGGUGACAAUAAAUUGGAUAUACAUGAUCAUAUUGUUGGAUUAGUGUCUAAGUCCAUAACUAUUUUGGUAUGUACUUGACCCGAUGGUGCAUGGUCCUUUUGGGUUGCCUUCACCAAAGCAACUUGAUAGGAUGAAUUAUGGAGAGAGAGGAUUGAUUAUAAUUUAUUAAUAUGUUAUGAGAAUAAUAUAUUAAAGGAGAAAUCAUAUUGUUUAAUUAAUAUUAGUCAAGAAUUAAUUGGUAAUUAGUUUUGUGGCUAAAAGAGAUUAAUUAAACUUAAGGGACUAGAAUUGUAAUUAUAAGAUAAUUGCAAUUGGGCUAUGGAUUACCUUAUAAUAUAAGGUUAGACGAAUUCUAUGGGGAAACCCAUUAGAAAUCGUCCAAGGCUUAUUAAAGAAGGGUACAUGGGCUGCUUAGGGCUUAAGCAGUCAGUUUAGGGUUUCCUAGUUCAAAACCCUAAUAGCCUACAUGUAUAUAAAGGACCCUUAAGCCCCAAAAACGUGGUGGACAUGCUCCUUAGGGUUUUCACACGUUUUGGGCAGCCUCCUUCUCUUCUCCUCUUCAUCCUCAUGCUCUUGGUGUUUGUGAACCAUUAGAGGAGUGACAUUUGUGACUCUAAGCUUUCUAAAGUCAUUACAAGGAGGAUUUGAGAUUGUUAUUGCUACAUAACAAUCAAGGUAAUAUCUUAAACCCUAUUUUAUGUUAAUAUGAUUAAUUUCAAGCUAGAUCUAGGGUUUAUAGCUUUGGAUAAUCAAUUGCAUGUUCAUUAGACAAACUAGAUACAAAAGCUAUUAGGGUUUUCAUGUACACUAUAGGAAUGAUGGAUAGUCUAAAACCCAUCACAUAUAACUUUAAUGUGGAUUACACGGCCUAGCAAUUUGUUUGCUGAAGUCGCGUUUGGUUCCCAGAAUCUUUUGACAGCGAGAGCGUUUAGUAUGAGAACUAGCCUUCACAUUAUGACCUUUAUAAAACAAAUAUGUUUUAAGGUAAUCAGUACGUCAGGAUGUCAAUUAAAAAGACAACUGGGUACUUACAUUUUCCCAUUACUUUCAUAUUGUGACAGUUCCACUUGAAAGUUAAUGCAAACUAUUUUCGAGUUAAGAUAGUUAUAAACUAGGGAAAACUUACAUUUUACAAACGAAAAACAGAACAAUAGAGUCUAGUACAUUGAGUAGAAAGGGACCAUAAUGCUAACCUUAUGAUUCCUUAAUGCAUACAUCAAGGGAUAUAUAUUAAUAGGAUCCGACAGGCAAUAGGAUGUGUGCUUUCCGCUUCAUUUCCUGUUCCUUGUUUGGUUGUAGGCUUAGAGCGGAUUAACCCAACCUAUUAUCCAUUCGAUCUUAGUAAUAUAUAUGUUUCGUAUACAUUAAGUCAUCAUAAGGGGUACCAGGUAUGGGUCAGGUCAUAGGACACAAAUUCAAUGCACAGUUUUGUAUUACAGAACAUACGUACUUUUCAAAUAGAACAUUUGGUAGACAAAACAAGAAACUUACUAGUAAAGGGUUUAAUCCAUUUUAUUAAACCAGUAUAACUUAAAGGACCUUAGGUGAUUAACUCUAUAAUACCUUAGUCUAUACAUCAGGGUUAUAUAUAAUUAAUACCUGAUAGGUAGUUGGAUGUGUGUUUUCCGCCUUACUUCUUGUUCCUUGUUAGGUUGUGGGCUUAGGGAAGAUUCACACAAUUAACUAUCUAUUCGAUAUUAGAUUUUAUAUAACCAGUAUAAACUAAGUGAUUAUAGAAGUAACCACCGUGGUUAACAUUUUUAUUAUAAGAAAUAAGGGUUUUCAUAAAUAAUCUUUUAAACAAAUAUAAAGGAACUAUUACAAUUAACUCCGUGAGUACCAAGUGAUUACGUCAGGGUUAUAUACAACGACGACCUAAUAACCAAUGGGAUGUGUGCCUUCCGCUUCAUUCCCUGUUCCUUGUUUGGUUGUAGGCUUAGGGCAGAUACACACAAUCAAUUGUUUGUUUACUCUGAGUUCUAUAUAACUUGUAUCCAUUUAGUACUCAUAAAAAAGAAUUGUAGAGUCAUUUUUACUUAUCUUUCAUCAAAGUAAGAAAUAUAGGAUUUUCAGAAGCAACAGGAGAACUUUUCUAAACAAAACUUACAAUUUACUACAACUUACUAAACUUUCUUACAACUUACUCGCAUCACUAGAAUCUUAUGAAUUCACCAGCUAAAUUGCUGAUCAACUCUUUCAAAAUAACUUGUAUUCUCAAGAAACUAGUAGACAGGUACUCGCACUGGGAAUUCAGAAGAUGGAGCAGUAUAGCUCCAAGUCUUGUUUUGUUAUUUACAUAUGUAUUCUAUGUUUGGUGAACACAUACAUAGUAAACACUUUCAUUCUAAUGAAAUGGUUGUUUAUUACUUUGAUUACUCUGAUGCAUGCUGUAACGCCUGUGUUUCUGGGUUUGUCAUUAAUAGCAAUGUAAUAGUCUAGGUUAACCUUUGUAACUCGUUUCAAAAUAAUAGAAGUGUAUUAUUUGAGUUUAUGUGUUUUGUGCUUAACUGUGUGACUUAAAUGAAUCAAGGAUAAAAAUAAGCGUCAAAAUGAAAUGUUAGAUAAUCCCGAUAUCUAUGAAGGAUGUGGUAGUGGUCGUGACGAGGUUUCCGAAUAUAUAAAGAAUGUCGAAUGAUGCCGAAUGACAUAAAAUACGAAUCUAAGAUAGAGCGAUAUCUAGCCUUAUUAAUCUAAACGAAAGUCGUGGAGUUCGUUAAAUCAAGAGCGUGCAUAAAAAGAAUGCCCAAAUCUAGCUUCGUAUGAGGAAGUUAUGAUUUUUUGAAGUUUCGACUUAGUGGUAUGCAACCCGAAUACUCGAAAUAGAGAUCGAGUGAUUUUUAGCCAAAAAAAUCUAAACGAAAAUCGAAGAUCCCAUUAAUAGUAGUGAAACGAUAAAAAGAUAGGUGAAAAUGGACGUCAGAUGAAGAAGUUAUGAAUUUAUAACGGAGUUUUCCUGUUCCGGCCUACUAAAAAUAAUAUAAAAAUAAUAUAUUUAUAAUAUAUUAAAAAAUAAAGUCAAAAUUAGCCAACGCAGUCUAAACGAGAGUUGUAGAUCAUAAUCUCGCCUACGUGUGGAUAUAAAGAACGUCGAAAACGGAGCUCGUAUGCGAAUGUUAUGAAUUUCUGAAGUUCGGGGUGUGAACCCCAAGGUUGAGUCAGUUCACGAGGUGAGCAUUAGUGACUCACGAGGUGAACAGAUGAUGGACAUCUAGCAGGGCAAGUGGCCAUGAUGAACGCAAUGACGUAUCGAGCUCACGAGGUGAAUAUUAGAAACUCACGAGGUGAGUAAGUUCACAAGGUGAAUAUUAAAAACUCACAAGGUGAACUCAGAAAAUUCACCCAAUAAAUAGAAAUCGAGGGUCAACCAAUUUAGGUUGCUCAUAUCUUACUCUCCCACUCCCGAUACUCUCUCUAAGCCCUAUUUUAACCCCCCGAAGCCCCGAUAUCAUCCCAAUACCCGAAGCGAGUCCCAAAGCCCGAAGAUCCCGAGAAGAAAAGAGUUCCCGAGCCGAAGCUCUGCCCGCGAGAAGUUCGAUUUUUGUGAAGAUCUUCUAGAUCUACCGAUGAAUACUACUUCUACAAGUCGUAGUGCUGUCCGAUCAUCUUCUGAUCAAGUGAGUGUGUAUUUACUUUCUUCUAACGCAUAAUUACGAAGUAUUUUAUAUGAAAUACGUGUUAUGUGUAUAUUUUGUUGUUAUAUGUGUGAAUGUAUAUUCACUUUCUUCUAUCUCAUAGAUAUGAUUUAUUCUCUAUGAAAUAUGUGUUAUGUGUGUGUGUCUCAUCUGUUGUUUGGAAUAUGUAUUGAAUGAGAAUGUUAUACAGGUUUUAAACUAUGUAUAAAAAUAUAUAUUUUUAUCUACUAAUAUGUUGGGUAGAUAGUUGAUGUGCGAUAAACAGAUGAGAGGUCUCGAUGUUGUUGUUGUUGAUCUAGUUAUUCAGCGGAGUAUGGAUAACGACCACAGACUCUUUCUAGACAGUCCUGUGGAACGCUAGCAGGUUCAUAAUCUAUAGGUGUUGUGAACGAUGUGUUCACCGGUGUACUCUAUCCCCCUCAUGGUUGCCUUUAGGAUAUCUAUUGUUGAGGAAACCCCUUAAGAGUAAUGUCCAUCCCGACGAAAUCCUAGAUAGGUCCCUAGUAAUAGAUGUUGUUUUAGGGACGUAAAGUGAGGAUAACAGGAAUGGGUAAUUGGGUUAUUGUUGGUUGGUGAAAUUAAAUAUAAUUAUUUAUUGUGGGUUGAAAACCCUAUAUGCUCACCAGGCUCCCAAGCCUGACCCACUCAGUCUUAUUUGCAUUACAGGAAGUGGCGCGAGGGCAUAAGAUGGAUGAAUCAUCAAGUUGUUUUGUUUAUGAGCCUGUAUAUGUAUAUAACUGUUGUAUGGCUUGUAAUAUGUCGUUUAUGCAUUUUGGUCUGUAUCAGAACAUGACAUCCCGAAUAUUGUUAUAUAAUGAAAACGCAUCUCUUGAUGAAAUGCUUUGAUAAACUUUAUUUUAUCAUAUUUUGUUUUGGGAACAAAUUCUGCAACUCUUUUAAAUCAAAAGGAUUUACUUUGAAAUUAUUUUAAAAGCAUAAAUGAAAUCGGUCUUUUUUGGCCGUGAUUUUGGGGAUGUCACACAUGCCUUGUGAUACUAAACAUGACGUCGUCCACCCCCGAACGUUUCCGCCGUUCCGGUUUUGGGGUGUGACAGAUUGGUAUCAGAGCAUUGUUUAUAGUGAACUAAGUAUAUCAACCAAUAAAAGAUAUACAACUAUAAAUACAAUGGGGCUUAAGUGCUCUGGAUAAUAAUAUAUUUUAUGAGUAUAACAAUAAGUUAUAAAAAUAUACCUACUUGCUUAUACAUGUAUACAUACUAGAACAAGUAUCACAAGAAGAACAGAACAAAAGUAUAUAAAGGUUGAACAUUGCGGUCAAACCUGGACAGUUAUGUAAUCACAACUAGGAUCAAUAUAACCUUAUCAACUAUAUUCAUUCGACAUGUGUUUGGGAGUGAUGUGGUGUUGCAACAGUCUUAAAACUUACCUAACACCAGUCAAGAGAAUUCUAGAUCAAGUACAUAGAGUUAGAGUACUAUAGGAGUAUUCUAGGAUACUAUAAUACGAUAACAAGUUUGAAACAUACCAAUUACAUUACAUUAAAAUACUAUAGGAGUAUUUUAGGCACUAUAUAAAUAACUUAUGUGAUAACUUAAAAGACCCUUACUGAUAGGUCUCUAAUCUUGCAAUGUAUACUCCCAAGGUUUUAUAUAACUGAGAUUUUAUAGACUUAGAAUUUAUGAUAUACGCUUCACUACCUAUUACUUGUUUGGUUGUGGUUUUGGAGUAGGAUCACUUAUUUGAAGGUCUAUUUCAUCUUGAAUUAUAUACAACUUGUAUACAUUGUACAAUUAUAGAAGGACUCUGUAAGGAUCGCCCCAUAAUGUUACCCUAAAUCUCAUAGAGUCUUUAGUCAAAUCCAUUCUCGCACAAUAAACCCAUAUAAUGUAACCACUUCCUCAUAGUAGUCAACAGAAGAGUCAAGGAGGAACAAGAGUAAGUUCAAGAGAAGUUUUCAAGGAGGGAUCAGCCGAAGUAACCAAAACGUCAUAUGCGUCACACUAAUAAAUAAUAAUCUUGGUUAACUUAAUGAGUUAGUGGAAACACUGCUCAUAUUAUGUGUUAGGAUUAUUUUCUUAGAUGCAACUGGUAACAGUUAUUCACAUUAUGUGUUAGGAUUAUUUUCUUCAAGAGUAAAUUACUAAAAUCGUCCCUAUGGUUUUGUCAAAAUUUCACGUUUGGUCAAUAACCUUUUCUUUGCACUCGGACCGUCCCUAUGGUUUGAUUUCGUUGCGUUUUUCGUCCCUAUAGCUUGGUCAAAAUUGCAUAUUUGGUCCUUAAUUUUAUGUAUGUAAGGGACGAAAAACGCAAAAAAAUCAAACCGUAGGGACGAUCCGAGUGCAAAAGAAAAGUUAGGGACCAAACAUAAAAUUUUGACCAAACCAUAGGGACGAUUUUAGUAAUUUACUCUAACAGAUAUUCAUUCGAGGAUAGCCAUUCCAAAUUCAUAAAGGUUAUUAGGUGUAGACUCUUUUAUGAAUUGUUUCUAGAACCCUGUGGAAGUCAGGACCUGAAACAUUCAGAACUAGGACAACCUUGUCUUUCGAGGUUAGUAUGUGUGUUUCCGCCCUAUCUCUUGUUCCUUGUUUGGGUGUGGACCUUAGGCAGAUUCGCACAUCCGACUGUCUAACUAAUCUUAAUUAUAUAUGACUUGUAUACACGAGGUAAUGACAGGUGGACCAAAGUAUGCAUCCUAUCAUGAACACUAAGGCAAAGUUGCCAGGUCUGCGAGUGAGUAUUCUGCAAAUCAGAGGAGCGCAACCCCAGUAGUACUGUAAGAAAGCUAAUUUCGGGAUGAAAUUCCAUCUAACGGGGGGAUGAUGUGACAACCCGAAAAUGUUUGUUCUGAAAACUCAGUCAGUCAACUCAACUGAAUGUCAGACUCACUUCUAAUGAGUUCUAGGCUUGUUAAAGGUCAUUCUAAGGAGUUUUAGCUUAGUACACUCAUGGAAUAAGUGUUUGGAAGUAUCAGCGGAAGCUCUAAGCCAUCCAGCAAACCGUAAACCUCUUCAUGAGGAGUUUACGGUCAGUACCCAUGAUUUUACGGUCAGGGUGACCGGAAACUCCCUCAUNUAUAUAUAUAUAUAUAUAUAUAUAAUUUAUGAUCAUUUUGAUCAUUUCUACCCUUUACAACUCUAGAAACUUAAAUUCUCUCUCAAGUAUCAAAGGAUCAUCCCUCAAAUCCUCGAAAAUGUAAGUAAUUCCUUCCAUUCUAUGAGUUCAUACAUCUUUUCUUCUUGAUUCACCCAUUGAUUUCAUCCACUAACUUCGAUUUUGGGUUUGAUCUUCAAGAUCACCAAGAACACCAAGAACACAUAGUGGUUCUUAGGCCGUGAACUCCUCUUCAAACUUCCAAAUUGUAAGUAUCCUUCCAUAUACCUUAGAAACUCUGAAUAUGCACCAAGAAACAACCGUUUUGCAUGAUUUUCUAGGAGUUUACGGUUGUAAACUCCUUGACUGUAAACACCCUAGACCGUAAACUUCUAGGACCGUAAACUCUAUGACCAUGAACUCAGUGGCCGUAAACACCCUUUUUGUCAAUCACAUGUGAUUCAACACUUC